rnacentral:misc_RNA from 1 species
UCACUACCAUCAAGUGUAGCCCCUGCAGCCUCUCCAACUCCUGCUCCUACACCUGUUACAGCUGCAGCUCUUUCCCCGAUGCAGUAUGCCAUCCCUCCUGGAUCUGGUCUUGCUAAAACGGACCCAAGGAAUGCUUCUGUUGAUCGAAGAAAGAGAAAGAAAGACGGAUAAUUUUAUUUUACUCAUAGCACAGACCUCCUAUCAACUAAUUUAU